rnacentral:tRNA from 1 species
UCUCUGAUGGUCCAGUGGCUAAGACGCUGUGCUCCCAAGGCAGGGGACGCGGGUUCCAUCCCUGGUCAGGGAA